GGGGAAUUUUCCGCAAUGGGCGAAAGCCUGACGGAGCAACGCCGCGUGAGGGAAGAAGGCCUCUGGGCUGUAAACCUCUUUUCUCAAGGAAGAAGAUCUGACGGUACUUGAGGAAUAAGCCACGGCUAAUUCCGUGCCAGCAGCCGCGGUAAUACGGGAGUGGCAAGCGUUAUCCGGAAUUAUUGGGCGUAAAGCGUCCGCAGGCGGCCUUUCAAGUCUGCUGUUAAAGCGUGGAGCUUAACUCCAUUAAGGCAGUGGAAACUGUUGGGCUCGAGUGUGGUAGGGGCAGAGGGAAUUCCCGGUGUAGCGGUGAAAUGCGUAGAUAUCGGGAAGAACACCAGUGGCGAAGGCGCUCUGCUGGGCCAUAACUGACGCUCAUGGACGAAAGCCAGGGGAGCGAAAGGGAUUAGAUACCCCUGUAGUC
rnacentral:rRNA from 1 species